rnacentral:lncRNA from 1 species
UCGGCGCAUAGGCUAAAAUGAAAAGCUGCAUCAAAACAAAGACAAAAUUAAAAACAAAACGGAGUAUAAUAUGAACUUGAAUUAAUUCAUCUACUGAACUCACUGUGUUAAUCAAUAAUUUAAUUCCCUCGUAAUAGUCAAGUUGUUCGAUUAUUCCCUCCCGAAGGCUCACCUCAGAAUCUCUCCAUUUCCAUCCAGGCACAUCUAAUUUAAUGACACUUGUUCUCUUUCAGAUCUAAGGGCCAAGGUUUAUUAGAGUAAAUCUUGUUUAAAACUACGUACCCUUUUGCUGGGUUAGAUUUAAAUUGGAAAGAGAACACAGCAAUCCGAAAAUUUUGCUAGAGAAUUUCGUUCUGAUUGGACAGACAAAAUGAGAAUUUCGUUCUGAUUGGACAGACAAAAUGAGAAUUUCGUUCUGAUUAUACAGACAAAAUGAGAAUUUCGUUCUGAUUGGACAGACAAAAUGAGAAUUUCGUUCUGAUUGGACAGACAAAAUUAU